rnacentral:rRNA from 1 species
AGUAAAAGUCGUAACAAGGUUUCCGUAGGUGAACCUGCGGAAGGAUCAUUAACGAAUUGAACUGGGUUGUAGCUGGCCUUUCGAGGCAUGUGCACGCCCUUUCCAAUCCAACAUACACCUGUGCACCUCUGGGGAAGAUACUUGAUCUAAGUUGGUUAACGACGGCGAUCUUUGUCUUCUCUUUUUACACCAAACUACAGUUAUAGAACGUCUUUUGCUUGAUGCAAACAAAUACAACUUUCAACAACGGAUCUCUUGGCUCUCGCAUCGAUGAAGAACGCAGCGAAAUGCGAUAAGUAAUGUGAAUUGCAGAAUUCAGUGAAUCAUCGAAUCUUUGAACGCACCUUGCACUCCUUGGUAUUCCGAGGAGUAUGCCUGUUUGAGUGUCAUGAAAUUAUCAACUUCAUAGUUUUAUUACUGUGAAGCUUGGACUUGGAAGUUGCUGGCUUUGUUCGGCUCUUCUUAAAUACAUUAGCUGCUUGUCCGUGGGUUGGCUCAGAGUGUGAUAAUUAUCUGCACUUGGUGGCUGCCUGCAAGGAUGUGGCUUCUAAUCGUCUUCGGACAAUUUCUUAAGAUCUGACCUCAAAUCAGGUAGGACUACCCGCUGAACUUAAGCAUAUCAAUAAGCGGAGGA